GAUGAACGCUGGCGGCGUGCCUAAUACAUGCAAGUCGAGCGAACAGACGAGGAGCUUGCUCCUCUGACGUUAGCGGCGGACGGGUGAGUAACACGUGGAUAACCUACCUAUAAGACUGGGAUAACUUCGGGAAACCGGAGCUAAUACCGGAUAAUAUAUUGAACCGCAUGGUUCAAUAGUGAAAGACGGUUUUGCUGUCACUUAUAGAUGGAUCCGCGCCGCAUUAGCUAGUUGGCAAGGUAACGGCUUACCAAGGCGACGAUGCGUAGCCGACCUGAGAGGGUGAUCGGCCACACUGGAACUGAGACACGGUCCAGACUCCUACGGGAGGCAGCAGUAGGGAAUCUUCCGCAAAGGGCGAAAGCCUGACGGAGCAACGCCGCGUGAGUGAUGAAGGUCUUCGGAUCGUAAAACUCUGUUAUUAGGGAAGAACAAAUGUGUAAGUAACUAUGCACGUCUUGACGGUACCUAAUCAGAAAGCCACGGCUAACUACGUG
rnacentral:rRNA from 1 species